rnacentral:rRNA from 1 species
CAGCAGCCGCGGGAAUACAGAGGUCUCAAGCGUUGUUCGGAUUCAUUGGGCGUAAAGGGUGCGUAGGUGGCGGUGUAAGUCUAACGUGAAAUCUCGGGGCUCAACCUCGAAAUUGCGUCGGAUACUGCAUUGCUAGAGGAUUGUAGAGGAGAGUGGAAUUCAUGGUGUAGCAGUGAAAUGCGUAGAUAUCAUGAGGAAGACCAGUUGCGAAGGCGACUCUCUGGGCAAUUCCUGACACUGAGGCACGAAGGCUAGGGGAGCAAACGGGAUUAGAUACCCCCGUAGUCCCUGUCUCUUAUAC